CACCGGCGGCUCGAGUGGUAACCGUUAUUAUUGGGUCUAAAGGGUCUGUAGCCGGCCGGAUAAGUCUCUUGAGAAAUCCAGCAGCUCAACUGUUGGGCUUUCAGGAGAUACUAUUAGGCUUGAGGCCGGGAGAGGCUGGAGGAACUCCCAGGGUAGGGGUGAAAUCUUGUAAUCCUUGAAGGACCACCAGUGGCGAAGGCGUCUCACCAGAACGGACCUGACGGCAAGGGACGAAAGCUAGGGGCACGAACCGG
rnacentral:rRNA from 1 species